ACUCCUACGGGGAGGCAGCAGUGGGGAAUAUUGCACAAUGGGGGAAACCCUGAUGCAGCCAUGCCGCGUGUGUGAAGAAGGCCUUCGGUUGUAAAGCACUUUCAGUAGGGAGGAAGGUAGUGUAGUUAAUACCUGCAUUAUUUGACGUUUACCUACAGAAGAAGCACCGGCUAACUCCGUGCCAGCAGCCGCGGUAAUACGGAGGGUGCGAGCGUUAAUCGGAAUUACUGGGCGUAAAGCGCAUGCAGGCGGCCUGUUAAGUCAGAUGUGAAAGCCCGGGGCUAACCUCGGAAUUGCAUUUGAAACUGGCAGGCUAGAGUCUUGUAGAGGGGGUAGGAA
rnacentral:rRNA from 1 species